CUGUGGGAUGAACCAAACGCCGGGUUAAGGCGCCCGAUGCGAGACGCUCAUGAGACCCCAUGAAAGGUGUUGGUUGCUCUAGACAGCAGGGCGGUGUCCACGGAGGUCGGAAUCCGCUAAGGAGUGUGUAACAACUCACCUGCCGAAGCAACUAGCCCUAAAAAUGGAUGGCGCUCCAGCGUCGAGCCCAUACCCGGCCGCUUCAUCAAAAACUGUCAUAUAUAUUUGAUAUUUAAGAUGAAGUGAGUAGGAGGGUCGCAGCGGUGAGCGUUGAAGGUGCCGGGCGUGAGCCCGCCUGGAGCCACCGCUGGUGCA
rnacentral:rRNA from 1 species